rnacentral:rRNA from 1 species
UACGUAGGGGGCGAGCGUUGUCCGGAAUUACUGGGCGUAAAGGGUGCGUAGGCGGAAUGUCAAGUCAGAUGUGAAAUACCCGGGCUUAACCCGGGGGCUGCAUUUGAAACUGACAUCCUUGAGUGCAGGAGAGGCAAGUGGAAUUCCUAGUGUAGCGGUGAAAUGCGUAGAUAUUAGGAGGAACACCGGUGGCGAAGGCGACUUGCUGGACUGUAACUGACGCUGAGGCACGAAAGCGUGGGGAG